rnacentral:rRNA from 1 species
GAUGAACGCUGGCGGCGUGCCUAAUACAUGCAAGUCGAGCGAACAGACGAGGAGCUUGCUCCUCUGACGUUAGCGGCGGACGGGUGAGUAACACGUGGAUAACCUACCUAUAAGACUGGGAUAACUUCGGGAAACCGGAGCUAAUACCGGAUAAUAUAUUGAACCGCAUGGUUCAAUAGUGAAAGACGGUUUUGCUGUCACUUAUAGAUGGAUCCGCGCCGCAUUAGCUAGUUGGUAAGGUAACGGCUUACCAAGGCGACGAUGCGUAGCCGACCUGAGAGGGUGAUCGGCCACACUGGAACUGAGACACGGUCCAGACUCCUACGGGAGGCAGCAGUAGGGAAUCUUCCGAAAAGGGCGAAAGCCUGACGGAGCAACGCCGCGUGAGUGAUGAAGGUCUUCGGAUCGUAAAACUCUGUUAUUAGGGAAGAACAAAUGUGUAAGUAACUAUGCACGUCUUGACGGUACCUAAUCAGAAAGCCACGGCUAACUACGUG